rnacentral:tRNA from 1 species
GCCCCCGUAGCGCAAUGGUAGCGCGUAAGACUGUAUGUCCACACAUCAAUAUUCCCAUGUUCAAAAACCCAUCAACUAACAAAUCAACAGUCUACUUUCAAAGUGAUCUUAAGGUUGCGAGUUCGAGCCUCGCCGGGGGCU